UACGGGGGGAGCAAGCGUUGUUCGGAUUUACUGGGCGUAAAGGGCGCGUAGGCGGUCAGCACAAGUCAGUUGUGAAAUCUCCGGGCUUAACUCGGAAGGGUCAACUGAUACUGUGCGACUAGAGUGCAGAAGGGGCAACUGGAAUUCUCGGUGUAGCGGUGAAAUGCGUAGAUAUCGAGAGGAACACCUGCGGCGAAGGCGGGUUGCUGGGCUGACACUGACGCUGAUGCGCGAAGGCCAGGGGAGCAAACGGG
rnacentral:rRNA from 1 species